UGGGGAAUUUUGGACAAUGGGGGCAACCCUGAUCCAGCAAUGCCGCGUGUGCGAAGAAGGCCUUCGGGUUGUAAAGCACUUUUGUCCGGAAAGAAAACCUAUCCGCUAAUACCGGGUGGGGAUGACGGUACCGGAAGAAUCAGCACCGGCUAACUACGUGCCAGCAGCCGCGGUAAUACGUAGGGUGCGAGCGUUAAUCGGAAUUACUGGGCGUAAAGCGUGCGCAGGCGGUGCGUUAAGACCGAUGUGAAAUCCCCGAGCUUAACUUGGGAACUGCAUUGGUGACUGGCGCGCUCGAGUAUGGCAGAGGGGGGUGGAAUUCCACGUGUAGCAGUGAAAUGCGUAGAGAUGUGGAGGAACACCGAUGGCGAAGGCAGCCCCCUGGGCCAAUACUGACGCUCAUGCACGAAAGCGUGGGGAGCAAACAGGAUUAGAUACCCCCGUAGUCC
rnacentral:rRNA from 1 species